rnacentral:SRP_RNA from 1 species
AGUAGGGUCCUGUGCGGUAGGGCGCUCGAACCGUGUCAGGGCUUAACGGCAGCAGCACUAAGGGCAUCACCCUAGGUGCCACGGGGCAGCCCUACUUUA